AGAGCACUAAAUGACCGACUUGCUGCUGUUUGGGACAAUUAAUGCAUUUUCUCCUGCUGCUGUGAGGAUCAUCGACCAUCACAGUAAGCUCUGCCCCACGAUGCUAACACAGACUGGUCAGUGGCUUUGGACAAAGGCUACUAUUUCAGGAGGCUAAGCUUAGUGACUGCUAAGCUUGCACUGCUGAGAAAACAAAUUGGAGUGGCAGCAGCCGAAACCCUCUCCAAGCAAGGUCCAGGCCCAGCAUCUUGCAGAAGUGAACUCAAUUGAGUAAAGAUUUAAAUAAAAGAAUCACAGUGAUAUUGCUUUGGAUACAAGCAACCUAUUCACUGUAGGAGUACUAUGGCUACGAAACAUCGAUUUCAUCAUG